GACGAACGCUGGCGGCGUGCUUAACACAUGCAAGUCGAGCGGUAAGGCCCUUUCGGGGGUACACGAGCGGCGAACGGGUGAGUAACACGUGGGUGACCUGCCCUUAGCUCUGGGAUGAGCCUGGGAAACUGGGUCUAAUACCGGAUAUGACUCCAUGACGCAUGUUGUGGGGUGGAAAGCCUUGUGCGGCUAGGGGAUGGGCCCGCGGCCUAUCAGCUUGUUGGUGGGGUGANGGCCUACCAAGGCGACGACGGGUAGCCGGCCUGAGAGGGCGACCGGCCACACUGGGACUGAGACACGGCCCAGACUCCUACGGGAGGCAGCAGUGGGGAAUCUUGCGCAAUGGGCGAAAGCCUGACGCAGCGACGCCGCGUGGGGAUGACGGCCU
rnacentral:rRNA from 1 species